CAUUUUUCUAGCAGGACCUCUUUUGCCUUUUACCAUUUCAUUCACAGCACUGAACGGCCGCCAAAUAGCCGCCAUCUCUUCCUCCACCUGGCGGCCAGAGAUCAAACUCCCCUUUCCUUCACUGCUCUGCACGGCUACCAAACUCGCUUCCAUCUCUUCCUCGUCCCUGCGUCAAACAAGCAAAAUCACACGUCUAGUCACCAUAAAUUUCACAAAAUUGAAUUCUAGUAAAGCUACAUUAUCACAUGAAUCCCUAGCUUCUCAUACUCUCUCUUAUGUCUUAUUGUUUUUGACCAGUUUAGCUCUAGUUGCGUUUUGGGUAGUACAAGUAGUAGAAGUACUGAGAACACGAAUCAGUGACUAAAUGGCGAGACAGCAGCUAAUUCCUACAAGGCUUAUCCCACAGCUUCCUUGUCCAUAUCCACGCAUCUCCACCUGCCAGCAAAACAGCAGCCUGACCAGCCGCCUCAAUCGCUUGAUAGUGCAGCGACAUCACUUCAAGU
rnacentral:misc_RNA from 1 species